UACGGAAGGGACUAGCGUUAUUCGGAAUUACUGGGCGUAAAGCGCACGUAGGCGGAUUUGUAAGUCAGGGGUGAAAUCCCGGGGCUCAACCUCGGAACUGCCUUUGAUACUGCAAAUCUCGAGUCCGAUAGAGGUGGGUGGAAUUCCUAGUGUAGAGGUGAAAUUCGUAGAUAUUAGGAAGAACACCGGUGGCGAAGGCGGCCCACUGGAUCGGUACUGACGCUGAGGUGCGAAAGCGUGGGGAGCAAACAGG
rnacentral:rRNA from 1 species